rnacentral:lncRNA from 1 species
UCCUUCUCCAGCUCAUUUUACAGAUGAGGAAAUCAAGGCAAAUAGAUUUAAGGGACUUAUUACUUUUCAGUCUGCUCCUAAGGAUGUGAAACUGGGUUUGACCUCAGGCUUUCCGGAUGACAGGCUCCAUAUUCUAUCCCUUGAGUCACUUUUGAGUUUUACUACUGGGAAAAUUGAGGGCCAGAGCAGGGAAUUAAUUCACCAACUACCAUCAGGAGUCCAAUGAAUACUCUGACCUCUGUGCACAUGAGCUCCUAGCUAAGUUCAGAAUUUCCCAUUCUGUUCUAUCUUUCUGUCUCAGGCCUGCUGGUUCUGGCUCACAACCUCCCUUCUGUAAACACCGGAGCAUAUCUCAGGGCUUACAUUCCUCCACUGUGGCAGCCUCUAAACACAUAUCUGCUUCCUCCACACGCCACGUAUCUUAUGGGCCUCUUUUUAGUGGACAAAGAUUGAAGGGAGGGCCAAAUACUCAGCCUUCACCCCCUGAAAAACUCUUGCCCAAGUCUGUGGAGAAUGAAUCACAUGCAAGUCAUUGAGUCAAACAGACCCAGACUUGUAGAUGAGACACAUAGACAGGCACAGUGGCUAAAACACUGGAUGUGAAGAAUCGGAAUUCAAAAAGAUCUGGUUGGCUAGAGGAUACUGUGAAAUGGAAGAAGAUGUAAAAAGGAUAGCUAAAAUAGCUUACAUUUGGAUUAAAAAAAAAAAAAAAAAAGGAAUGGGAGAGAGUUCGUCUUAGACAGCCAUGGAUAUCUCUCUCAUUUAACAUCUCCAGGGAAAAACUGAAUGACUCCAAAGCUAGAAGAUUUAGGACUACUGACUUAUUAUUAGAACAGAAGUCCCUCAAGGUUAGGGGACCACAAAAUCAUAUUACAUCAAUUCCAUGGGGGAUAUGUUGUACAGACCAAUGCGCUCAUUUAGGUACAGAUUGAAUAAGGCAGCCACUGAAGUCCUUUCCAACUCCAAAAUUUUGUGAUUCUGCCUGCAGACAGGACACCUCCAGCUAAUGUUCAAAUGCAAAACAUUCUUUUCCUACUCAAAUUUUCCUACUGCUUUUUGGUUCUAUUUUGUGUCCAUUAUAGCCUAAUUUAGAUUUUUCCAUACUCAGAGGGAUCUAUCAUCUCACUAACUUGACACAGAUUCCAAUCUCGCCAAUGACAUAGAUUCCAGUCCCACCCUUUUAGUAAGUCUCUAAUCCAUGGAGAAGCUUUAAUAAACUUUGCUCUUCUUGGCAAUACAAUGAUCUAAGACAAUUCCAAAAAAUUCAUAUCCCAUACUUAUCCAUACUCAGAAAAAGAGCUAUGGAAUCUGAAUGCAGCUCUCUCAUGAGUUUUCCCUUUUGUUUUGAUUCUUCUUUUACAACAUGACCAAUGUGGAAAUCUGUUUAAUAUGAUUUUACAUAUAUAACAUUAUCAGAUUUAAUUGCCAUCUUGGGAAGGGAGAAGAGAGGGAAAAAAUAGAAACCAAAAUAUUAUAAAAGUGAAUGUUAAAAACCAAUAAAUAAAUUGAAAUAAAACAGG